rnacentral:lncRNA from 1 species
GCAGCACCUGGUGGUCCGCGCGUCCAGGCCGGCGCAGCUGCAGGCGGAGGACUGGAGGAUCAACGGCGUGGGGCGCCAAGUGAGCCACCACUAUGGCUAUGGGCUGCUGGACGCGGGGCUGCUGGUAGACCUGGCUCGCGUGUGGCUCCCUACUAAGCCUCAGAAGAAAUGCACCAUUCGGGUGGUGCACACCCCAACGUGAGAGAGGCCCCGCCCCGAUGGAGGGAGGGGCCCCGCCCACUGGAGGGAGGUCCGGAGGUCCAGACUCGACGCCCGCGCGGGGGGUUCUGUCCAGGUCUCCACCCUACACUUUGUUGUAGUCCCCUUCCUCCAGUAAUUCCCCCACCUUAGUCCAAGGCAGGGAGGAUGCCCCGAAACCUCAGUUUACCCAUCUGAGGAAAGAGUGCCCUCAGGCCCUUGGACAGUGCCCCCCCAAACCCGCCUCUGGGCUCUACCUGGCCCGCAGCAGACCCACAGGACCGUCCUCACCCACCAGCCCCAUCCUGCCUCGGAUGCUGGUGCCAAAGAACGUGACUGUGUGCUGCGAUGGCUCGCGCCGCCGCCUCAUCCGCUCGCUAGAGCAUGUUCAGGUCCAGCUGUCGCUCUCCUACAGCCGCCGCGGGGACCUGGAGAUCUUCCUCACCAGCCCCAUGGGCACGCGCUCCACGCUUGUGGCCAUCAGGUGUGAGAAAUCCCCAAGGGCCCUGGGAACCAGCGGUGUCCUCCCUAGCCUCCCGCAGGU